rnacentral:lncRNA from 1 species
AAUAAAAGAACAGAGCUUCAUGUCUUCAUCUUUCUGGGUUUUUCACCAGCACACUCCCAUCGAAUGUCUCUCUCAUUCCCAAUUCUGAUAUUCAAACCCUCUCUUCUCUCUCAUUGCCACUAGAGUCUCUCUCGGUCUCACUAGAGUCUCUACUCGUUCACACAGUCACCUUGCUUCUUUGACAAGAAGAGCUUGAUGCGACGGUAGCUCUCAAACAUGGUUCGAACCUCAUCUUUGUUCCUCUGCUUGGUGACGACCUCAUCCUGUGACAGAGGCGGAGAAGGAGAAGUAGGCGGACGAGCUAGGGUUUGAGAGAGAUCAAGUAGAGAGAGAGAGGAUAGGAAGAGGAGAGAAGAAGAUGAAGAAGGUUAAACCUUCAGAGGCGUGAUGAAGAACAAUUUUGGUUCUUUGUUUUUUUUAAUAUGUUUAAGGUAGAUGAAG